CGCUCUGAGCCCGACGGGGCCCUGAAUGGCUUUUCCUGCCCUGGCUCCUCCCAUCAUAUUUUAAAUGCCGUCUUCCUCCCGCUCCAAGGAAACCUUCUCUUGACGUCAGACAGAGGCUGCACCGGUACAGCUGCCAUCUCCUCUUGGUGGUGUCCUUUGUCAAGAGCAUGUCAGGGUGAUGAGUCAUCUGGGACAGGUCACCCUCCCAGCACCGAGAAGCCGACGGGGGAGGAACAGACUCCUCUGCAUUGUGAUCCAAUUGUGAACAAAAAGUCCUCUUCGUGGAACAGGAAAAAUACACUCCCUCUAAACAAUGGAUUGAACACAGAUGUGAUUUCUAAAGAAGACUGAAGGCAGGGAUACUGACACUGAAGUCCUGCCUGUGUAAUAACACCGAAGAGGGCAGGGAAUCGCUGCGUCCUGUGACUUGAAGGCCACUGUGAAGGAAAACAAUGCAGUGAAAGAAAGUUCCUCCUAUGUGGACAUUGUAUCACGUUUAUUUAUCUUCCUGGAUAUGCUUAUGGCCUUUAAAACAUAUUAAAAUAGGCUAUGCUAUU
ensembl:lncRNA novel transcript